ACUAACGCUGGCGGCGUGCCUAACACAUGCAAGUCGAACGAUUCUUGAUUUAUAGCAAUAUUAUUAAAGAGGAGUGGCGAACGGGUGAGUAACACGUAGAUAAUCUGCCUUCAGACGGGGACAACUCAGGGAAACUUGUGCUAAUACCCGAUGAGACCACAAGAAGGGAUUUUUGUGGCCAAAGGCGGGCAGCAAUGCUCGUGCUGAAAGAUGAGUCUGCGUCCUAUCAGCUAGUUGGUGGGGUAAAUGCCUACCAAGGCUAAGACGGGUAGCCGGCCUGAGAGGGUGAACGGCCACACUGGGACUGAGACACGGCCCAGACUCCUACGGGAGGCAGCAGUGAGGAAUUUUCCGCAAUGGGCGCAAGCCUGACGGAGCGACGCCGCGUGAGGGAUGAACCAGCUUUCGGGUUGUAAACCUCUUUUAUUAAGGAAAAAGAUCUAUAUGCUAAUAUCAUGUAGAUUUGAUGGUACUUAUUGAAUAAGCCCCGGCUAACUACGUGCCAGCCGCAGC
rnacentral:rRNA from 1 species